GAGGCAACAACUAUCAAGGUGGGAACAACAAGACUGUUUUGAGUGGAGCUGGCCCUAGUGUGUCUGCAGUUGCUAGAUUGAAUGUUAUAAGUGCUAGAGAAGCUGAGACGUCCAAGGACGUAGUUACGGGAAGAUCUUGCAAAUAUCAAAGGGAAGCAAAGAGGUUUCAAGCAUAAUUAAAGCCAGUCAAACUUUUGACUGUUGAUUUUUGUGUAAUCAAGAGUUUAGAGAAGAAGUUGCAGGUACAAGUUCUUGAUGUGCAUGGAAAUCAUAAGCAUUCGGAUGGGAGUUUUAGUACACGAGUACUUUCUUAUUUAAGUCAUCUUGAAUUUUAUAUUUGACUUUACCUGACCA